rnacentral:tRNA from 1 species
GGAGCUGUGGCUUAGUUGGUCAAAGUGCCUGUCUAGUAAAAAGGAGAUCCUGGGUUCAAAUCCCAGCAGUGCCU